UACGAAGGGGGCUAGCGUUGCUCGGAAUCACUGGGCGUAAAGCGUGCGCAGGCGGUUCGUUGUGUCGGUGGUGAAAGCCCCGGGCUUAACCUGGGAAUGGCCAUGGAAACUGGCGAACUGGAGUGUGGCAGAGGGGGGUGGAAUUCCGCGUGUAGCAGUGAAAUGCGUAGAGAUGCGGGGGAACACCGAUGGCGAAGGCAGCCCCCUGGGCUAGCACUGACGCUCAGGCACGAAAGCGUGGGGAGCAAACAGG
rnacentral:rRNA from 1 species